rnacentral:lncRNA from 1 species
UCGCCGUCUCGUGCAACCAUCCUACCUAUCGCCGCGCGCCAACCUCUACCUGUCGUCGCGUGCGAACCUCUUCUUAUCGCCGCGCACCUCUCAUUCCCUCUACUACCCAUUGUUGUCUGCCCCAACCAGCCGCUCUUCCACCCUGCUGCAACCUCUCGCAGCCCUGUCUCUCUUGAUCACCUGAUGCGACCACUACAGCAGCCAUCGCCUCUUCCCUCUCUUCACCUCUCCCUGGACAGCCAUCACUCCAUCACCGCACAUUCUUCUUCAAACCACCAUUAGCUACACCAGCCACCCUAUCCUCUUCUUCUGUCACCCUGUUCUUCUCCUCUUCUAGCCACCAUCCCCAACCUUGCUCCGCCGCUUAACCGUCUGCCAUCAGCACCACUCAUCACCGUGCGCCAUCUUUUCGUCCACCAUCUCCGCCACUUCAGCUACCCUCUCUCUGUUCCGCCAUCUGCUGCACCCGGCUGCUCCCAUCUUCUUCGCUACUGCAUAACUGCACCUCCGCCUUUCUCUCACUCUUCAGCUCCGCCUCGUUCUCCACCUUGCUGCGAUUCUCUCACUUUCAUCUCCUCCGCCCUGCUGUGACCCAAUUCCAGCCAGCAGCUACGUCCCCGUACUCCUUCUUCUUCAUCUCACUGCCACUUUCCUCUCUCUACGUUUUUCCCGGCCACCCGCACUUAUGUGCGGUCCCAUUCUUGCCGGUCUUUCCAUCACUUCCUGCUGCGAUCACCAUCAGCAGCUCCAUCUUUCUCUGCCAUCACCAGUAGCGAGUCUCUCUCUUUGCCUCUGAUCAUCUGCGACCAAUCCUCCUUCCUACCUCCAGCUCCCGACCAUCCUUUGACUCUCCCAUUCCCCUGUUCUUUCUCUCUAG